GGUUCUAUGGGGUAGUGGUUAGCCCCCGGGAUUUUGAUUACAUCAUUGUUUCCCGUGACCCCGGUUCGAAUCCGGGUAAAACCU